GACGAACGCUGGCGGCGUGCUUAACACAUGCAAGUCGAACGGACAGGCCCUGCUUUUGUGGGUUGCUCGAGUGGCGAACGGGUGAGUAACACGUGAGUAACCUGCCCUUGACUUUGGGAUAACUUCAGGAAACUGGGGCUCAUACCGGAUAUGAGCUCCUGCUGCAUGGUGGGGGUUGGAAAGUUUCGGCGGUUGGGGAUGGACUCGCGGCUUAUCAGCUUGUUGGUGGGGUAGUGGCUUACCAAGGCUUUGACGGGUAGCCGGCCUGAGAGGGUGACCGGCCACAAUGGGACUGAGAUACGGCCCAGAAGCCUACGGGAGGCAGCAGUGGGGAAUAUUGCACAAUGGGCGGAAGCCUGAUGAAGCAACGCCGCGUGCGGGAUGACGGCCUUCGGGGUGUAAACCGCUUUCGCCUGUGACGAAGAGUGAGUGACGGUAAUGGGUAAAGAAGCACCGGCUAACUACGUG
rnacentral:rRNA from 1 species